rnacentral:rRNA from 1 species
AUGGCCGCGCCCUUCUUCUCCACCCCCUUUCAGCCCUACGUCUACCAGAGCCAACAGGGAUCUGUGACGGCGUUUCAGAUAUCCGGUGGGGAUGUGCAGGUCCUGCAGGUGAUGGUGAAGUCGCAGGACAAGUUGACUGCGAAACCAGGUACAAUGUGUUACAUGUCCGGGAACAUUCAGAUGGACAACAAUUACUUGCCUGAAAACGAUGGAGGCGUGUGGCAGUGGAUAUUUGGAAAAAGCAUAACCAGCACUGUUUUCUUCAAUCCUGGCCCUGAUGAUGGAUAUGUGGGGAUUUCUGCACCAUUUCCUGGGAGGAUACUGCCUAUAGAUCUAGCAAACUUUGGUGGAGAACUACUUUGCCAGGCAGAUUCUUUCCUCUGCUCGGUCAAUGAUGUGUCAGUCACAAGUAGUACAGUUGAUCAGCGGCCGCGCAACAUUGAAAUUGGUGCAGAGAUGAUCCUCAAACAGAAGCUUAGGGGUCAAGGGAUGGCCUUCCUUGUUGGCGGUGGAUCAGUAAUGCAGAAAAUUCUUGCUCCCCGGGAGGUGAUUACUGUUGAUUGUGCUUGUAUUGUGGCUAUGACAACCACCAUUAACUUUCAGUUACAGAACCCUACCCCACAUAGAAGAGCAGUCCUUGUAUUCGGGGGUGUCAACCAGCUAAAAGCAUCUCUCACAGGACCUGGCGUCGUUUUCAUUCAGAGCCUUCCCUUCAAUCGGCUCUCGCAGCGCAUCGCAAGUAGAUCGGUGGGGGCCCCAAGCUUGAGAGACAACCCCAGGUUCUUCAUCCAGAUCGUCAUGUUCUUCUUCCUGGCCUAUGUCAUGAUUGUGUCGUCAAUAAUUCUGACGGAUGUUUAG